UAGGGAAUCUUCGGCAAUGGGGGCAACCCUGACCGAGCAACGCCGCGUGAGUGAAGAAGGUUUUCGGAUCGUAAAGCUCUGUUGUAAGUCAAGAACGAGUGUGAGAGUGGAAAGUUCACACUGUGACGGUAGCUUACCAGAAAGGGACGGCUAACUACGUGCCAGCAGCCGCGGUAAUACGUAGGUCCCGAGCGUUGUCCGGAUUUAUUGGGCGUAAAGCGAGCGCAGGCGGUUUGAUAAGUCUGAAGUUAAAGGCUGUGGCUCAACCAUAGUUCGCUUUGGAAACUGUCAAACUUGAGUGCAGAAGGGGAGAGUGGAAUUCCAUGUGUAGCGGUGAAAUGCGUAGAUAUAUGGAGGAACACCGGUGGCGAAAGUGGCUCUCUGGUCUGUAACUGACGCUGAGGCUCGAAAGCGUGGGGAGCGAACAGGAUUAGAUACCCUGGUAGUCCACGCCGUAAACGAUGAGUGCUAGGUGUUGGAUCCUUUCCGGGAUUCAGUGCCGCAGCUAACGCAUUAAGCACUCCGCCUGGGGAGUACGACCGCAAGGUUG
rnacentral:rRNA from 1 species